rnacentral:rRNA from 1 species
AACGAACGCUGGCGGCAUGCCUAACACAUGCAAGUCGAACGAGACCUUCGGGUCUAGUGGCGCACGGGUGCGUAACGCGUGGGAACCUGCCCUUAGGUUCGGAAUAACUCCCCGAAAGGGGUGCUAAUACCGGAUAAUGUCUUCGACCAAAGAUUUAUCGCCUUUGGAUGGGCCCGCGUUGGAUUAGCUAGUUGGUAGGGUAAAAGCCUACCAAGGCGACGAUCCAUAGCUGGUCUGAGAGGAUGAUCAGCCACACUGGGACUGAGACACGGCCCAGACUCCUACGGGAGGCAGCAGUGGGGAAUAUUGGACAAUGGGCGAAAGCCUGAUCCAGCAAUGCCGCGUGAGUGAUGAAGGCCUUAGGGUUGUAAAGCUCUUUUACCCGGGAUGAUAAUGACAGUACCGGGAGAAUAAGCUCCGGCUAACUCUGUG